rnacentral:rRNA from 1 species
AAUCAACGCUGGCGGCGUGCCUAACACAUGCAAGUCGAACGCGAAAGCCCCGCAAGGGGUAAGUAGAGUGGCAAACGGGUGAGUAACACGUGGGUGAUCUGCCCUCGAGUGGGGGAUAACGUCCCGAAAGGGACGCUAAUACCGCAUAAUAUGCCGCCUUUGAAAAGGUAGGACAUCAAAGCGUGGGGAGUCGCAAGACCUAGCGCUUGAA